rnacentral:rRNA from 1 species
GGAUAUUUAACGCGUUAACUGCGGCACCGAAUUUAAAACCCGACACCUAAUAUCCAUCGUUUACAGCGUGGACUACCAGGGUAUCUAAUCCUGUUUGCUCCCCACGCUUUCGUACCUCAGCGUCAGUACUCGUSCAGUUGGCCGCCUUCGCCACCGGUGUUCCUCCAGAUAUCUACGGAUUUCACUCCUACACCUGGAAUUCCGCCAACCUCUCCGAGACUCUAGCACUCCAGUUUCAAACGCAAUUCCUCGGUUGAGCCGAGGGCUUUCACGUCUGACUUGAAGCGCCGCCUACGCACGCUUUACGCCCAGUGAUUCCGAUUAACGCUCGCACCCUCCGUAUUACCGCGGCUGCUGGCACGGAGUUAGCCGGUGCUUCCUCUAGAGGUACCGUCAGUGAAUGGACGUAUUAUGACCAAACAGUUUCUUCCCUCUUGACAGUAGUUUACGACCCGAAGCCUUCUUCCUACACGCGGCGUCGCUGCGUCAGGGUUUCCCCCAUUGCGCAAUAUUCCCACUGCUGCCUCCGUAGAGUCUGGGCCGUGUUUCAGUCCAGUGUGGCUGAUCAUCUCUCAGACCAGCUACUCAUCGUUGCCUUGGUAGGGCAUUACC